CCUUUGACGUUAGCGGCGGACGGGUGAGUAACACUGGGUAACCUACCUAUAAGACUGGGAUAACUUCGGGAAACCGGAGCUAAUACCGGAUAAUAUUUCGAACCGCAUGGUUCGAUAGUGAAAGGUGGUUUUGCUAUCACUUAUAGAUGGACCCGCGCCGUAUUAGCUAGUUGGUAAGGUAACGGCUUACCAAGGCGACGAUACGUAGCCGACCUGAGAGGGUGAUCGGCCACACUGGAACUGAGACACGGUCCAGACUCCUACGGGAGGCAGCAGCC
rnacentral:rRNA from 1 species